GACGAACGCUGGCGGCGUGCUUAACACAUGCAAGUCGAGCGGUAAGGCCCUUUCGGGGGUACGACGAGCGGCGAACGGGUGAGUAACACGUGGGUGACCUGCCCUCAGCUCUGGGAUAAGCCUGGGAAACCGGGUCUAAUACUGGAUAUGACUCCAUGACGCACGUUGUGGGGUGGAAAGCCUUGUGCGGCUGAGGAUGGGCCCGCGGCCUAUCAGCUUGUUGGUGGGGUGAUGGCCUACCAAGGCGACGACGGGUGGCCGGCCUGAGAGGGCGACCGGCCACACUGGGACUGAGACACGGCCCAGACUCCUACGGGAGGCAGCAGUGGGGAAUCUUGCGCAAUGGGCGAAAGCCUGACGCAGCGACGCCGCGUGAGGGA
rnacentral:rRNA from 1 species